UACGGAGGGUGCAAGCGUUGUCCGGAUUUAUUGGGUUUAAAGGGUGCGUAGGCGGCUAAUUAAGUCAGCGGUGAAAUUCCAGAGCUCAACUCUGCGAACUGCCAUUGAUACUGGUUGGCUUGAGUACAGAUGAGGUAGGCGGAAUUGACAGUGUAGCGGUGAAAUGCUUAGAUAUUGUCAAGAACACCUAUUGCGAAGGCAGCUUACUAAACUGUAAACUGACGCUGAGGCACGAAAGCGUGGGGAUCAAACAGG
rnacentral:rRNA from 1 species